UACGGAGGAUCCAAGCGUUAUCCGGAUUCAUUGGGUUUAAAGGGUGCGUAGGCGGACUGAUAAGUCAGUGGUGAAAUCCUGCAGCUUAACUGCAGAACUGCCAUUGAUACUGUCAAUCUUGAGUACAUUUGAUGUGGGCGGAAUGUGUCAUGUAGCGGUGAAAUGCUUAGAUAUGACACAGAACACCGAUUGCGAAGGCAGCUCACAAAACUGUAACUGACGCUGAGGCACGAAAGCGUGGGUAUCAAACAGG
rnacentral:rRNA from 1 species